UACCUCCCAGGAUCGCAUCUGGAGAGUGGCUAAUAUUCUGCCAGCUUCGGAGUCGGGAGGGAAAACAAGCCUGGCAGAGGUACCCAUUCCAUUCCCUGCUUGCUCAGUAGCUGGUGAUUGGAAGACACUCUGCAACAAAG
ensembl:snoRNA